rnacentral:rRNA from 2 species
CCCAUAAAACUAUUCUCAGUUCGGAUUGUAGGCUGCAACUCGCCUACAUGAAGCCGGAAUCGCUAGUAAUCGUGGAUCAGCAUGCCACGGUGAAUACGUUCCCGGGCCUUGUACACACCGCCCGUCACACCACGAGAGUUUGUAACACCCGAAGUCGGUAGGGUAACCUUUAUGGAGCCAGCCGCCGAAGGUGGGACAGAUAAUUGGGGUGAAGUCGUAACAAGGUAGCCGUAUCGGAAGGUGCGGCUGGAUCACCUCCUUUCUAAGGAA